GGCCCAAUGGUCUAGUAGUAUGAUUCGCGCUUCGGGUUAGGAGUUGCGCGAGGUCCCGGGUUCAAUUCCCGGUUGGGCCC
rnacentral:tRNA from 1 species